ensembl:snoRNA
ACCUCCUACAAAGGCGCAGUUGCAUUGGCCUGCUUGCAAAUGCGUAAGAACUGGAGGAAAAGAAGCUGAAUGAUGUAUUUCAUAUUA